GGGCCGGUAGAUCAAUGGCAGAUCGUUGCCUUCGCGUCAUUCCUUGCGGAAAAGGCAAAGGCUGCGGGUUCGAAUCCCGCCCGGUCCA
rnacentral:tRNA from 1 species